rnacentral:rRNA from 1 species
ACGGGAGGCAGCAGUGAGGAAUAUUGGUCAAUGGAGGCAACUCUGAACCAGCCAUCUCGCGUGAAGGAAUACGGCCCUAUGGGUCUUAAACUUCUUUUAUAGGGGGAUAAAGUGAGGCAUGCAUGCCUUUUUGUAGGUACCCUAUGAAUAAGCAUCGGCUAACUCCGUGCCAGCAGCCGCGGUAAUACGGAGGAUGCGAGCGUUAUCCGGAUUUACUGGGUGUAAAGGGCGCGUAGGCGGGGAUGCAAGUCAGGUGUGAAAUCUAUGGGCUUAACCCAUAAACUGCAUUUGAAACUGUAUCUCUUGAGUGUCGGAGAGGUAGACGGAAUUCCUAGUGUAGCGGUGAAAUGCGUAGAUAUUAGGAGGAACACCAGUGGCGAAGGCGGUCUACUGGACGAUAACUGACGCUGAGGCGCGAAAGCGUGGGGAGCAAACAGGAUUAGAUACCCUGGUA